AACAUCUAUACACCGUAAUAGAACAAGGUAUGAGUUACUUGCAAUUUUAUUUUUUAGUUGAAUAUACAAUGACUAUGCGAUUUUAUUCAUUUAUUUAAGAAAAACUUCCCUAAUUACAAUGUAAUUAAUUACACCCAACACUGCUUAAAUACGUUAUUAUUGUAAUAAUAACAAUUACGUUGUUGUUUUUAUUUUCAGAGAAUUUAUGGAUACCAAGCUCAAGCGGAUUAAUUAUAUGAGUCUCCUUUCUGAAAAAGAAUUUAUACUCAGAUACAGAUUAAAUAAAACGUUAGUAAACGAGUUAUUAAUAAAAAUAAUGCCAGACUUGAGCGGAAUGAAGGAUAAGGGAUUGAAAUAAAAAAAAAACAA
rnacentral:misc_RNA from 1 species